rnacentral:rRNA from 1 species
UGCGUAGGCGGAAUAUUAAGUCAGUGGUGAAGUCCUGCGGCUCAACCGUAGAACUGUCAUUGAUACUGAUAUUCUUGAAUGUAGUUGAGGUAGGCGGAAUGUGUAAUGUGCGGUGAAAUGCUUAGAUAUUACACAGAACACCGAUUGCGAAGGCAGCUUACUAAACUAUGAUUGACGCUGAGGCACGAAAGCGUGGGGAGCGAACAGGAUUAGAUACCCUGGUAGUCC